rnacentral:lncRNA from 1 species
CAGUUUAUAGUGUCCAACCAUGGCUGUUAGGGAGCUGUUCUCUGCACCUCAUGUCUUUGCUUACGGAGGGACCUUCCAUUAGUAUUUGGUAAGAUUCCUGGCCUCUGCCCUUUGCUGAGUAUUAAUAACUUUGCCGAGUUAAUAAUUUAACUCGAUUUCAGCCAGGAAUUGCAAAGACAGUAAUAAAAUCCUGCUUCAUGGGGUUCUCUACGGGAGAGAGGCAGAAAUAAAUGCAAAUGUACAUGCAUGUGUACGUAUUAAAGGGCGCCUACUGAAAUCAUCACCAUCUAGAGCCCAGAGGGGAUGGGAUCUGAGCAUCAAAAGACAGCAUCCAGGAGCAUGUGUGGGUGAGAACUACUACUGUGUCCUAGGGUACUGAGUAGGUAACACUCAGUAUGAAAAUCUCUUGCCUUUAGUGAGCACGUCAUCAGUCAUUGCAGUGGGAGCACACAUCACAGACAAACAGCUGCCUGAGGAACUUAGGCUCGUCCCUGCGGUCAUUCUUGAGAUCUCUCAACCACCUUGAGAUCCUGGAAGACCAACAGCACCUCCCUCCCAAAGGAAAAAACCAUCCAUUGGCGUCCCUGUUGUGACUCAGCAUGUUAAGAACCCGACUAGUAUCCAAGAGGAUGUGGGUUUGGCUUCACUCCGUGGGUUAAGGAUCCGGCGUUGCAGCAGGUGCAGGGUAGGUCGCGGAUGCCGCUGGGAUCUGGCAUUGCUGUGGCUGCGGUGUAGUGCAGGUGUCGACUCUGAUUCAACUGCUAGCUCAGGAACUUCUAUAUGCCGCAGGUCCGGCCCUAAAAAGACAACAAACAAACAAACAACCCCACCCCCACCCCGCAAAGAAAAAUCCAUCGUCAAGUAUACCCGAAUUUCUUGAAAAAAGAGGUAAGGGGGCUAGGAGCUGGACUCCCCUUAAAGAGAUGAGCUUUCCCACAAGAAAUUCAAUCAGAACAUUAUUUUCAUAGUUAAUAGGGGUGUGUUGAUAUCGAGGAGCUAAAGGUAAGACACUGACAGGUGAAGAGUGAUAUCGGGAGACCUAAACCUAUCUUCCUGGUUGCCCCGCAGUGUGCCUGCGCAGAGCCUCCUGCCUUUGGCUUUGGGGGUGGCUCAGCACCCACUUAGGUAAGCAGGAGGAAAGGCACCAGCCAGGGCGGCCAGCAGCCGUGUUUCUCUUCCUCUGGCGGUGCCGGUUCCUGAGCACAGUGGGCUCUACGGAAUCAAUGAGACCCAGUUCACCCAGUGAAAUUCACCCAGUGGGAGAGAAACCAGUGGCAGGAAAACCAGUGAAACACGGAAUGUUCCGAUUAGAUAUUUAAAUGGCGCGAAUUCAUAAUUGUCUUGAGUUCAUCUGAAAUGCAUUUCUCCCCAUAUUUGCCAUUUUCCUAAUCUGAACCUAUAUAUACACCAGCAGCCACACAGCCCGCUGUCUGGCUCCCCUCUGGCCUCACCUGGGGCUUGGGCGAGAAAGGAGGCGGGUCCUGUGUGUUCCUCAGUAAAGUCGUUAGGAGAGCGAAGGAGACUCAGAAGGAAGAAUUAGCAAUCAGACUUUCCAGUCUUGGAAAGUUUUAUGGGGAAUGAAGCCCUGGUGAGUCCACUUUUAAACUGUGAGGGGAGGGGCUAGGGAAAAUGAUGGGGCCCUCCUGGGAUCCAGCUCCUGCUGGGAUUCUGUUCACUGGGACCUAGUUGGGGCAAACCUUGGGCCAGGACCCUGGAGAAGAUCAGAGGGCCUUGACCUCUGGUGCUUCAGAUCUGGGGGUGGAUACAGGAGCAGCGCAAAGUUUACAAACACCCGCACAACUGAAUUCAGCCCGCAUGCACUGAAUAUCUAGUGUGUGGCAUUUACUUAUUUAUGGGCUUAUCAGAAGCCAAAGUAACAA